rnacentral:rRNA from 1 species
UGGGGAAUUUUCCGCAAUGGGCGAAAGCCUGACGGAGUGACGCCGCGUGGGGGACGAAGGCCUUCGGGUCGUAAACCCCUGUCAGAGGGAAAGAAGGGUCGGCGCGUGAAUAGCGCGUCGAUUUGACGGUACCUUCAGAGGAAGCCCCGGCCAACUCUGUGCCAGCAGCCGCGGUAAGACAGAGGGGGCAAGCGUUGCUCGGAAUCACUGGGCGUAAAGGGCGCGUAGGCGGGAUGGCAAGUCGGUCGUGAAAUCCCUGGGCUCAACUCAGGGGGGUCGGCCGAUACUGCCGUUCUUGAGGGAUGCAGAGGAGACUGGAAUUCCCGGUGUAGCGGUGAAAUGUGUAGAGAUCGGGAGGAACACCGGUGGCGAAGGCGGGUCUCUGGGCAUUCCCUGACGCUGAGGCGCGAAAGCGUGGGGAGCAA